UGCAUAUCCGAAUCUGCGC
rnacentral:siRNA from 1 species